rnacentral:rRNA from 1 species
AUUGAACGCUGGCGGCAUGAUUUACACAUGCAAGUCGAACGGUAACAGGCCGCAAGGUGCUGACGAGUGGCGAACGGGUGAGUAAUGCAUCGGAACGUGCCCAGUCGUGGGGGAUAACUACUCGAAAGAGUAGCUAAUACCGCAUACGAUCUAUGGAUGAAAGCGGGGGACCGUAAGGCCUCGCGCGAUUGGAGCGGCCGAUGUCAGAUUAGGUAGUUGGUGGGGUAAAGGCUCACCAAGCCAACGACCUGUAGCUGGUCUGAGAGGACGACCAGCCACACUGGGACUGAGACACGGCCCAGACUCCUACGGGAGGCAGCAGUGGGGAAUUUUGGACAAUGGGCGCAAGCCUGAUCCAGCAAUGCCGCGUGCAGGAAGAAGGCCUUCGGGUUGUAAACUGCUUUUGUACGGAACGAAACGGCUCUGGUUAAUACCCGGGGCUAAUGACGGUACCGUAAGAAUAAGCACCGGCUAACUACGUG